AAAGAAUGACUUUGGUUUAACUUGUUCUGCUCACAUGAAGGAGCUACUGUACUUUAUAGUCGCAUUAGCAUUAUAAAAGAGUAGACCCGAGGUUAGCUGAGGGGUUACACAGAAGCUAUAGCUUGUCUCUGGACCAAUGAUUCAAGUGGGAAAGGCUUGGUCCCCAGCCUGCAGUGGUAUUGGGAGGUGACGGAACCCUUAAAAGGCGGGGCCUCACGGCAGGAAGUGAGGUCACUAGGAUGCCACCCCCUUCUCUUUCAUCUCCAGCUGCCACCAGGCAAGCAGCUUCCUCCACCCGGGGCAUGGGCCAUGUUCUACCUUGCGCGGGUCCCACAGCAAUGGAGCCCCCUGACUGCAGGCUGGCAGUCCUGCAUCUGGAGCCAAAACAAACCUUUCCUCACUUGCCGCUGAUUCUCUCAGGUGCUCUGUCGUGCUGACGACAGCAAAAACAGGAGGAAGAACAAUGCUCUGACAGAGGGCACUUAAAUUACACCGACACCACUUUCAACUCUGUGGCAACCAAGAUAAACUACGUGGAAUUCACAGGAAAGCCGAGGAGCUUGCGUGCCAGAUCUCUGUGGGGAGGAGAUGCCUGAGCCAAUCUUUACAUAUGCGUUGGGAAAACCCGGAUGGAGAAAGGAAGAAGGAAGGUUUUGCGAGAAGGAACUAUUUACAGAGUCGAGAGGCAUGUAAUUACAACAUCUGUGUCCUCUCAGCGUGGGAAGCUGUUGAUUAUCUUCAGUUAUAAAGAAACACCUAGGACAUAAAACAUGGAAGGACAGAAGAGUUCUAGCGUCAAGGAGAUUGCUGAAAUUCUAGCAUUACGAAGGUGAUUUUCAUGAAGAUCCCACACCCAGUGGAGUUUGGAUGGAGACUUCUGUUGCAAAAGAGAGGAGAUCAUCUUUCCCUGGACCCUGAACUUCUGAAAAAAUCCAUUCAUUCUUUUGCCUUGCAAUGGCAAGCAGAAACAUCAAAACGACACCCAGGAUUAGGAGGCAGAUUUAUUUACGGCGACGGGCACCGACAGGGAAUCAAUUGUCCCUCAACAUGUCAGGCCCUGAAGGCUCAGGGAGGGAGGUUUUUAUGGGGUUGCAAACAAAAAGCAGAGUAUUUGGCUGACUUUGAUUGGUUCUUACAACAUCCAUCAUAGUGACCAGUUAUGCAUCACAGUGACCCGCCAUUUCAAGGAGACAGUGGUGACAGGAACUGUAACAGGAACCUGGGCAACUAACAAGUUGGCUGGGAGAAUUUUCUGCUACAGGCUUGCAUCCUCAUUGUGUCUGCCUGGCAGAGGUGAUGGGCAUCUGGCAGGUUAGAGAAGAUUCUUUGACCUAAUGGCCUACCAUUAGGUCCUAAAGCUGUAUCUGACUCUACUAGAUAUUUGCUUAGAAUGCUAAUAAUUUGCAUGUUUGGUGUAUUUGUACCUCUGCAGUAGUUUCUGAAAAUGGGACAAAAAUCCUGUAUGGCCAUUCUGUUAAACUCUACUAAGCUGUAAACACGAGAGAUCCGGGUCCAUUAUCCUGCUGUCCUCAUUUUAUAUCUCUAAUAUUAAGGUAGUAUUUGAAAAACUAGGUAUUCAGUGAAUGCGUAUUGAAUGAAUGAAAGGCCAGAUGUAAUGCAAAGAAAAGCUGAUCCUAAAUUCUGUGAUCCACAUUAGAUGGAGAAAAUAUAAUCCUGGAAAUAUGUACCUGGAGAAAUUGCUGUCAUCAUUUUCAUGCUUUAUAGCAUCUAAAGUUCUUAAAUUGGUCCCUCUGAUACCAUUGUGUUUAUUGUGUGGAUUUCUAUACUCUUAUAUUUUGGUUUAAUUUUCUACUUAUUAGUUAAAUAAUUACCUUGUGAGAACUGUGGGAAUAUACUUAAAAUAUUACUGUUGUUUUACAGAGUUCUGCUGUAAUGUAAUGACUAUGACUAGGAUCUCAAAUCUGUUUGGAAUUAUUAAAAGGCACAGUCUAACACAUAUUUUUACUUUUGUGCAUUCUUUCCCAAAUCACAUUGCACUAAUUCCUCUUGGGCCUAAGUGAUUUUUUUCAGUUUUGUACUCAUUCUAAUAUACCAGCUUCUUUUGCUGUGCUUUAAAAUUUUCUUUCUGAAAUCUUUGUUUUAAAGCAAAGCAUUCAAGGUAAAAUUUAAGUUCCAAUUCAGUCUGUCAGAUCAAUAUGAACAAAAUUUAAUGAAAAUUACUGAAUGUUGUGUUUUAUAAUUCCUUGGAAAAUUCUAGACCUUUACCCCAUGCCCAAGUGGAGUCCCUGAAGAAAUCAGCCAAGAGUUAUCUUUAGUUAUAUUAGUGGAAUUUCUUGAUAGGAAAAAUCCUGAGAUAUUCUUACCAAGAACACAAACAAAAGUAGUCAAAGGGUUCUGUUCCAGUGUUUUAAAAAUGUAUGGAAGAGGAGAAAUGGCAUAAACCUCUUUCAGAGGUCAUAUUCUAAAAAUUUCUAGGAGUUUACAGAGAUUCCUAAAGAAAUGACUUACAUACUCAGCCAAUUGCUUGGCUAUUUCAGGUACUUAUAGGAAGCCUUAGAAGGCAUGUUACCAAGGAAACCUUUUCCUCACUGGCAAAAGAUAAUUGUCCAUGCAUAGCUGGGCUGUAAUCUUGAUAUACUCCAAUUUUAUCUAUUUUAGCACCAGAGGAGAAAACAUUGUCAGAACCAGAAGCAGAAGGAUAAAAGCAAUUUUACCACCUCUAGUUGAUUGUUAAUAUGGACAGCAAUGCUCAUUAUAGUGAUGAUACUAUUAAUAAAAUUAUUAUAAACAUAUAUAAAUCAUUCUAUCUUAGUCUACUGGGACCCCUAUAAGUAAAGAACCAUAGACUAGGUGGCCUGAAGAACGAACAUUUAUUUCUCACGGUUCUGGAGGCCAUGUUAUCCAGGAUUCAAGCCCUAGCUGACUCCAUGUUUGGUCAGGGUCCACUUCCUGCUUCAGAGAGGGCUGUGUUCUCAUUGUGUCCUCAAUGGUGCUAUUGUCUGAAGUCCAAAGCCCUCAUGUUCUAAUGCCACUGCACUGCUAAUUGGGCUUCCAAGUAUGCACUGAAGGAUAUAAACGUUCAGUCUACAGCAAACCUGUCUGUAGUUUUA